UUGAGAUGUCUAAGGUUUGUUCACAACCUGCUACUAAAUUUGGCUGGACUAAUACUGUUUUGUGGUCCUGAUAUUAGUUUUAUAAAUACAACUGAACCAGUUCCACUGGUAGGCAAAACCAACUUCUUUGGAAGGAGACCCAGCAGCCAACAAAUCUUGGAGACCUGGUGAUAGCAGAUUGUUUCCCGAGAGCUGUGUGUCUUAUUGUAGUGAUAAUGAUUUCUCCACAGAGGCUUCCAAAAAGAACUGCUUUUAGAAGUAUACACUGAAGAGCAGAAUGAUUCUGUGAUCCGAAAGAGGCUUUGGUGAGAUUGGAUUCCCUCAGCGCUUCAACAUCUUUAUCUCUGACCUUGCAGAUAUAGACAUGUGUGGGCAAUUGACUUAUUUCUUGCCAUAGACCUCAUACUCAAGAGUUCUGAAGAGUCUUACAGUGGAAUGAAAGAGGAAUAAAUGUCUGUUAUUCAGCAAGAUAUCAGUCAUGAAAGCAUGGCCCCACUGCCACAUGGUAUGUAAGUACCUUAGCUUUUCUUUUUGAGGUGAAAAGCUCUCAUGAUUUAAUACAGGCAUUUGUUGCACACUUCUGGGAUGUGCCGGUAUUGCUAAAGCAAAAGUUGCCUGGCUUUUUCCCUUUCCUGCAGAUUCCUCCUUAAUCCAGACCUUUCUUUAACCACUUGCCCCAUUUCUACCUUUAAACCAGUGGACGUAUUAAAUACAGAAGA